CUUAGUGCUUAAUCUGGAAUCUAGAGGGCCACAUGAAAAGCUAUAGUGGGCCAGUUUUGGCCCAUGGACCUUGAGUUUGACACGUGUAUAAUAGAUGUUUAACCAGUUUAUUUCUACUUAGACAUCUGUAAGGUGAAUACAGAUUUGAGCAUGUGGAGGAAGGAAAAGCCAGUUCUCACGAUCAACACCAAGCACUUUAUUGUCAUAUCCCUUUUAGCUCUGGACUUCUGCCUUAGUUGUUUAUUUUCUUAAUUUCACUAUUUCCUCCAGUAUGAUUUAUUCCUUCUGCUAGUUUAGUUUCUGUUUUUAAGUGUUGGAUGUUUCCUCUGCUGUUACCUCCCUUCUAGUCUCAUCUUUGUUUUUGCCUUAAGCCACUUUGCCACUAACUCCUCUUCCCCAGCUGCCAGUCAUUCACCGCAUCCAGCCUCACUCGCUUUGUUCCCAGCUGCAGUCAGUUUUCCUGCUUAGUUCCUUCACUCCUUCCUCUUUGUAUCUACCUCACAGACUCAUUGCUCACCGCUCGUUCAGUCUGUUUCUCCCCGUCUCAUGUUCUAGAGGACCAGGGUUGUGAACCGCUGCUCUAUCCUUGUUUGACUCUUGUCUCCACAUGUGUGAGCUCAGCCAGCAGGAGAUAGAGAUGAUGGCACCAUUCAGUCAUAUGGUGACAAAGACUGGGGUGCAGCUGAUGGCCAGAAAACCAUUGGGCAACUUUUUGGCAUCUUAAGAGAGCUAGAAACCAAACUUGAAGACACUCAGAGAGAGAUGGAGGUCCUGAAGUCACAAGUUCAAGGCAACAAGGUAGCAUUUGGUGCAUCCAUAAGCGUCGGUGACAAUGUAGGACCUUUUAAUACCCACACCACACUGGUCUAUAAAAAGGUCUAUGUAAAUACAGGAUCAUUCAACGUGGGAACAGGUAUUUUUACGGCUCCUGUCACAGGAGUCUAUUAUUUCAGCUUCUCUGGACAUAAUCAUUCAUCUAAACCAAUGGGCCUGCAACUGAUGAAGAAUGGACAGCAGAUGGUCACUGUCUAUAAUCAUGUUGCUGGGAACCGUCAUGAGACAGCAACCAAUGGGAUGACUCUGCAGCUUGAAGUUGGAGACCAAGUUUACAUGAGACUGAUGCAAAACACCUGGAUUAUUGACAAUUCGAAUGAUCAUAGCACAUUUAUUGGCCAUUUAUUAUUCCCUCUGUAAAAGUUGUGAACAAGUAACACCUUUGUAUAAAAUCUAAAUGGAUGAAAGUGAAGACAAAAAAAUUGCUUCAUUUCAGUUGUAAUGUUUAGUAAAAAUACGUCUUGUUCAAGGCAUAUUUUAGAACAAAAUUAGAAUCUGCAUAUUGUGUCUUAAAUGUGAGAAACGAUGUUCAAGUAAAUUCAAAAUCAUAUUUGACCUAGUAAGUUAUUGGUAAUUAUAAAAUUUUUUAA